GUUCUUUAAAUAAGGACUAGUAUGAAUGGCAUCACGAGGGCUUAACUGUCUCCCCCCUCUAAUCAAUAAAACUGAUCUCCCCGUGAAGAAGCGGGAAUAAAAUUAUAAGACGAGAAGACCCCUUGGAGCUUCAAACUAAUUAUCACCUACUUUAAAUACAUCAUAUAAAAUAGUAGAUACUGCUCUUAAUGGUUUUAGGUUGGGGCGACCCCGGAGUAAAACUAAACCUCCAGGAUGAACGGAUAAAAUCCUAAUUAAAGAAUUACCAUUCUAUAACUCAAAAAUUUGACACCUUUGAUCCAAUAUAAAUUUAUUGAUCAACGAACCAAGUUACCCCGGGGAUAACAGCGCUAUCCAUUUCAAGAGCCCCUAUCGACAAAUGGGUUUACGACCUCGAUGUUGGAUCGGGAUAUCCUAGCAACGCAGCCGUUGCUUAUGGUUCGUUUGUUCAACGAUUAA
rnacentral:rRNA from 1 species